rnacentral:rRNA from 1 species
GACGAACGCUGGCGGCGUGCUUAACACAUGCAAGUCGAACGGAGCGAAUGAAAGCUUGCUUUUAUAAGCUUAGUGGCAAACGGGUGAGUAACACGUAGGCAACCUGCCGACAGGAUGGGGACAACAUUCCGAAAGGAAUGCUAAUACCGAAUGAAGCGGAGGAGAGGCAUCUCCCCUCCGUGAAAGAUGGCCUCUUUUUAUGCUAUCACCUGUCGAUGGGCCUGCGUCUGAUUAGCUGGUAGGUGAGGUAACGGCUCACCUAGGCGACGAUCAGUAGCCGGUCUGAGAGGAUGAACGGCCACAUUGGGACUGAGACACGGCCCAGACUCCUACGGGAGGCAGCAGUGGGGAAUCUUCCGCAAUGGGCGCAAGCCUGACGGAGCAACGCCGCGUGAGUGAAGAAGGUCUUCGGAUCGUAAAGCUCUGUUGAUGGGGACGAACGUGCCUAAUGCGAAUAGUUUUAGGCAANGAC